rnacentral:rRNA from 1 species
UUUGUUGUGCAAGCCUUCGGCUUGACUGGAGCAGUGCAUUGGAAACUGGGAGACUUGAGUGCAGAAGAGGAGAGUGGAACUCCAUGUGGAGCGGUGAAAUGCGUAGAUAUAUGGAAGAACACCAGUGGCGAAAGCGGCUCUCUGGUCUGUAACUGACGCUGAGGUUCGAAAGCGUGGGUAGCAAAC